GCUAAUUUUGUAUUUUUAGUUACACAGUAACAAAUGUGACUGAGGUCUACCUGCGCUCUCAGCUGAUGCUGGCACCUUUAUUGCCUAGGUGUUUAAUGCUUCUCAGGUCUGCAUCCUAUCUCCCGUCACACACUCUCAUAUGCUAUGUAGGAUGAGGACACAGCUGACACACUUAGUCACUGCACCUUGUAUGAUAUAAUACAACAGCUGAGAGAGUGGGACACAUUCUUCAUUCCCAUUCUGUCAGUGUAACAUAGCAUAUAGCAGCUGAGAACGGGGUACAUCCCUGACUCACAUGAUGUCACAAUGUCACAUAUGAUAUCAUAAGUCAUCCAGUGGGCUAGGCACGGUGGCUGACACCUAUAAUCCCCACACUUUGAGCCUGCCAAAGUGCCUUUUUUUGUGCCUUUCACAUAAAGACUAUGACACAGCUAAGCUAUUCAUGUACUAAUAAAUACCUGCCCUGAGCUGUGUGACCACGGACACCACCCUAUAAUGUGGCCAGUGUGUAGGAACUCUGCAGGCUCAGAUCAUUCCAGACAUACAUGCAGAUGUUGGAACUCCCUUGCACAGUGACUCAUGAUCCCAAGGCUGAGUGCUGAGGGCAGGAUUAACCUCAGCGAUUGUUGCUGGCAUCAGUGCAGCCCUGGGACCAGAGCACACCUGGGUGCCUGGUGCUACGACUCCCAGGACCCCAAGUGUGGUGAGGACAGAGUGUCAUGUGAGGCUGAGUGAGAUCAGUCUGUGUCCUGGGACCACCAGAGCAUGUGCCAGUGGUGCAAGAGUGGCCAAGAGACAGUCUGCACCCUGCACUCUGUGGCCUUUGCAGGUUUCUGUCUGUAGUCGUCUGCCCCAGUAGACUGACUGGGCAUCAGGUGCAAGUGUGUGACUGUCC
rnacentral:lncRNA from 1 species